AGGUUUUGGGAUUGUAAUGUCGAGUCUGACGGAGCACGCCGCGUGAGUGAUGAAGGUUUUCGGAUCGUAAAGCUCUGUUGUUAGGGAAGAACAAGUGCCGUUCAAAUAGGGCGGCACCUUGACGGUACCUAACCAGAAAGCCACGGCUAACUACGUGCCAGCAGCCGCGGUAAUACGUAGGUGGCAAGCGUUGUCCGGAAUUAUUGGGCGUAAAGGGCUCGCAGGCGGUUUCUUAAGUCUGAUGUGAAAGCCCCCGGCUCAACCGGGGAGGGUCAUUGGAAACUGGGGAACUUGAGUGCAGAAGAGGAGAGUGGAAUUCCACGUGUAGCGGUGAAAUGCGUAGAGAUGUGGAGGAACACCAGUGGCGAAGGCGACUCUCUGGUCUGUAACUGACGCUGAGGAGCGAAAGCGUGGGGAGCGAACAGGAUUAGAUACCCCGGUAGUCAAA
rnacentral:rRNA from 1 species